rnacentral:rRNA from 1 species
UACGUAGGGUGCGAGCGUUGUCCGGAAUUCUUGGGCGUAAAGAGCUCGUAGGCGGCCUGUCGCGUCGGAUGUGAAAGCCCGGGGCUUAACCCCGGGUCUGCAUUCGAUACGGGCAGGCUAGAGUGUGGUAGGGGAGAUCGGAAUUCCUGGUGUAGCGGUGAAAUGCGCAGAUAUCAGGAGGAACACCGGUGGCGAAGGCGGAUCUCUGGGCCAUUACUGACGCUGAGGAGCGAAAGCGUGGGGAGCGAACAGG